UUAAUUGAAGAGUUUGAUCAUGGCUCAGAUUGAACGCUGGCGGCAGGCCUAACACAUGCAAGUCGAGCGGAAACGAGUUAUCUGAACCUUCGGGGAACGAUAACGGCGUCGAGCGGCGGACGGGUGAGUAAUGCCUGGGAAAUUGCCCUGAUGUGGGGGAUAACUAUUGGAAACGAUAGCUAAUACCGCAUAACGUCUACGGACCAA
rnacentral:rRNA from 1 species